GAUUAGUGAUGAAAAAUAGCCAAGUAAUAGCAUCAAGAGUCCUUCUUGUCUUUAUGGUGCAAGAUCUGUAUGUGUUUCUGAAA